GCACUGGUGGUUCAGUGGUGGAGUCGUCGCCUUCCGUACGGGAGGCCCGGGUUAGAUUCCUGGCCAAUGCA
rnacentral:tRNA from 1 species